rnacentral:rRNA from 1 species
GACGAACGCUGGCGGCGUGCCUAAUACAUGCAAGUUGAGCGAUGAAGCUUGGUGCUUGCACCAAUUUGAAGAGCAGCGAACGGGUGAGUAACGCGUGGGGAAUCUGCCUUUGAGCGGGGGACAACAUUUGGAAACGAAUGCUAAUACCGCAUAACAACUUUAAACAUAAGUUUUAAGUUUGAAAGAUGCAAUUGCAUCACUCAAAGAUGAUCUCGCGUUGUAUUAGCUAGUUGGUGAGGUAAAGGCUCACCAAGGCGAUGAUACAUAGCCGACCUGGGAGGGUGAUCGGCCACAUUGGGAACGAGACACGGCCCAAACUCCGUCGGGAGGCAGCAGUAGGGAAUCUUCGGCAAUGGACGAAAGUCUGACCGAGCAACGCCGCGGGAGUGGAGAAGGUUUUCGGAUCGUAAAACUCUGUUGGUAGAGAAGAACGUUGGUGAGAGUGGAAAGCUCAUCAAGUGACGGUAACUACCCAGAAAGGGACGGCUAACUACGUG